rnacentral:rRNA from 1 species
GAUGAACGCUGGCGGCGUGCCUAAUACAUGCAAGUCGAACGAACGGACGAUAAGCUUGCUUCUCUGAUGUUAGCGGCGGGCGGGUGAGUAACACGUGGAUAACCUACCUAUAAGUCUGGGAUAACUUCGGGAAACCGGAGCUAAUACCAGAUCAUAUUUUGAACCGCAUGGUUCAAAAGUGAAUGACGGUCUUGCUGUCUCUAAUAGAUGGUUCCGCGCUGCAUUAGCUAGUUGGUAAGGUCACGGCUUACCAAGGCUACGAUGCAUGGCCGACCUGAGGGGGUGAUCGGCCACACGGGAACUGGAACACGGUCCAGACUCCUACGGGAGGGAGCAGUAGGGAAUCUUCCGCAAUGGGCGAAAGCCUGACGGAGCAACGCCGCGUGAGUGAUGAAGGUCUUCGGAUCGUAAAACUCUGUUAGUAGGGAAGAACAUAUGUGUAAGUAACUGUGCACAUCUUGACGGUACCUAAUCAGAAAGCCACGGCUAACUACGUG